CAUGGCUCAGGACGAACGCUGGCGGCGUGCCUAAUACAUGCAAGUCGAGCGGACAGAUGGGAGCUUGCUCCCUGAUGUUAGCGGCGGACGGGUGAGUAACACGUGGGUAACCUGCCUGUAAGACUGGGAUAACUCCGGGAAACCGGGGCUAAUACCGGAUGCUUGUUUGAACCGCAUGGUUCAAACAUAAAAGGUGGCUUCGGCUACCACUUACAGAUGGACCCGCGGCGCAUUAGCUAGUUGGUGAGGUAAUGGCUCACCAAGGCGACGAUGCGUAGCCGACCUGAGAGGGUGAUCGGCCACACUGGGACUGAGACACGGCCCAGACUCCUACGGGAGGCAGCAGUAGGGAAUCUUCCGCAAUGGACGAAAGUCUGACGGAGCAACGCCGCGUGAGUGAUGAAGGUUUUCGGAUCGUAAAGCUCUGUUGUUAGGGAAGAACAAGUACCGUUCGAAUAGGGCGGUACCUUGACGGUACCUAACCAGAAAGCCACGGCUAACUACGUGCCAGCAGCCGCGGUAAUACGUAGGUGGCAAGCGUUGUCCGGAAUUAUUGGGCGUAAAGGGCUCGCAGGCGGUUUCUUAAGUCUGAUGUGAAAGCCCCCGGCUCAACCGGGGAGGGUCAUUGGAAACUGGGGAACUUGAGUGCAGAAGAGGAGAGUGGAAUUCCACGUGUAGCGGUGAAAUGCGUAGAGAUGUGGAGGAACACCAGUGGCGAAGGCGACUCUCUGGUCUGUAACUGACGCUGAGGAGCGAAAGCGUGGGGAGCGAACAGGAUUAGAUACCCUGGUAGUCCACGCCGUAAACGAUGAGUGCUAAGUGUUAGGGGGUUUCCGCCCCUUAGUGCUGCAGCUAACGCAUUAAGCACUCCGCCUGGGGAGUACGGUCGCAAGACUGAAACUCAAAGGAAUUGACGGGGGCCCGCACAAGCGGUGGAGCAUGUGGUUUAAUUCGAAGCAACGCGAAGAACCUUACCAGGUCUUGACAUCCUCUGACAAUCCUAGAGAUAGGACGUCCCCUUCGGGGGCAGAGUGACAGGUGGUGCAUGGUUGUCGUCAGCUCGUGUCGUGAGAUGUUGGGUUAAGUCCCGCAACGAGCGCAACCCUUGAUCUUAGUUGCCAGCAUUCAGUUGGGCACUCUAAGGUGACUGCCGGUGACAAACCGGAGGAAGGUGGGGAUGACGUCAAAUCAUCAUGCCCCUUAUGACCUGGGCUACACACGUGCUACAAUGGACAGAACAAAGGGCAGCGAAACCGCGAGGUUAAGCCAAUCCCACAAAUCUGUUCUCAGUUCGGAUCGCAGUCUGCAACUCGACUGCGUGAAGCUGGAAUCGCUAGUAAUCGCGGAUCAGCAUGCCGCGGGUGAAUACGUUCCCGGGCCUUGUACACACCGCCCGUCACACCACGAGAGUUUGUAACACCCGAAGUCGGUGAGGUAACCUUUUAGGAGCCAGCCGCCGAAGGUGGGACAGAUGAUUGGGGUGAAGUC
rnacentral:rRNA from 1 species